rnacentral:rRNA from 1 species
UAAUACGGGAGGCAGCAGUGGGGAAUAUUGCACAAUGGGCGCAAGCCUGAUGCAGCCAUGCCGCGUGUAUGAAGAAGGCCUUCGGGUUGUAAAGUACUUUCAGCAGUGAGGAAGGUGGGUAUGUUAAUAGCAUACUCAUUUGACGUUAGCUGCAGAAGAAGCACCGGCUAACUCCGUGCCAGCAGCCGCGGUAAUACGGAGGGUGCGAGCGUUAAUCGGAAUUACUGGGCGUAAAGCGCAUGCAGGUGGAUGAUUAAGUCAGAUGUGAAAGCCCGGGGCUCAACCUCGGAAUAGCAUUUGAAACUGGUCAUCUAGAGUACUGUAGAGGGGGGUAGAAUUUCAGGUGUAGCGGUGAAAUGCGUAGAGAUCUGAAGGAAUACCGGUGGCGAAGGCGGCCCCCUGGACAGAUACUGACACUCAGAUGCGAAAGCGUGGGGAGCAAACAGGAUUAGAUACCCUGGUAGUCCACGCCGUAAACGAUGUCUACUUGGAGGUUGUGGCCUUGAGCCGUGGCUUUCGGAGCUAACGCGUU